rnacentral:rRNA from 1 species
CAGCAGCCGCGGGAACACGUAGGGUGCAAGCGUUAAUCGGAAUUACUGGGCGUAAAGCGUGCGCAGGCGGUUUUGUAAGACAGAGGUGAAAUCCCCGGGCUCAACCUGGGAACUGCCUUUGUGACUGCAAGGCUAGAGUACGGCAGAGGGGGAUGGAAUUCCGCGUGUAGCAGUGAAAUGCGUAGAUAUGCGGAGGAACACCGAUGGCGAAGGCAAUCCCCUGGGCCUGUACUGACGCUCAUGCACGAAAGCGUGGGGAGCAAACAGGAUUAGAUACCCCCGUAGUCCCUGUCUCUUAUAC